UGGGGAAUAUUGCGCAAUGGGCGAAAGCCUGACGCAGCAACACCGCGUGAGGGAUGACGGCCUUCGGGUUGUAAACCUCUUUCAGCUCCGACGAAGCGAAAGUGACGGUAGGAGCAGAAGAAGCACCGGCUAACUACGUGCCAGCAGCCGCGGUAAUACGUAGGGUGCAAGCGUUGUCCGGAAUUAUUGGGCGUAAAGAGCUCGUAGGCGGUCCGUUGCGUCUGCCGUGAAAACCCGGAGCUCAACUCCGGGCCUGCGGUGGAUACGGGCGGACUAGAGUCCGGUAGGGGAGACUGGAAUUCCUGGUGUAGCGGUGGAAUGCGCAGAUAUCAGGAGGAACACCGGUGGCGAAGGCGGGUCUCUGGGCCGGAACUGACGCUGAGGAGCGAAAGCGUGGGGGAGCGAACAGGGAUUAGAUACCCCUGGGUAGUCCACGCCGUAAACGGUGGGCGCUAGGUGUGGGAUCGUUUCCACGAUCUCCGUG
rnacentral:rRNA from 1 species